rnacentral:lncRNA from 1 species
CCCACAAAGAAAUAAAGCUCAUCUUCUUGUUGGUGAUAAUUACAAGUCAUUAUUGAAAUCUGCAAAGGUGGUGGUUGUGAUGGACAUGAUUGUACUUGGAAAGUAGACCCACGAGUGAUUCAACUUCUUCUAACUUAGCAGGUGAUAAUAAUUGAUCAACUAGUUCAAAGAGUUGUCCGUUUCUCUCUGCAACAAAAGUGGUCGAGUCUGGCAAGUUUGGAUUUCUUCAAGUCUUCAAACUCAGGUCCUCUCAUUGCAUUCCGACUUGAGCAACCGACUUCAAUUUAGUAUCCGG